CUAAGGCAUACUAGAAGAUGAAACCUCCGUCUCUCUCUGUCUCUUCGUCACUCGGUCUUCAAGUAGCUCAAUAAGUGCAUUCUUGUCCUUAGACUCCACCUGCAACUCUUCAUGCUUCUUGCUCAAAGCACGGAAACGCUCUUCCCACAUAUCCUUCUCUUGCUUCAUCUUGAUGAGCGCGUCUUCCAACUCCUCUACAUCUUGGUUAG
rnacentral:lncRNA from 1 species